rnacentral:rRNA from 1 species
UGAGGAAUCUUGCGCAAUGGAGGCAACUCUGACGCAGCCACGCCGCGUGCCGGAAGACGGCCCUAUGGGUUGUAAACGGCUUUUACCGGGGAAGAACCUGGCUCUUUCGAGGGCCACUGACGGUACCUGGUGGAUAAGCACCGCCUAACUCCGUGCCAGCAGCCGCGGUAAUACGGAGGGUGCAAGCGUUGUCCGGAAUCAUUGGGUGUAAAGGGUGCGCAGGCGUCUCGGGAAGUUUUCGGUGAAAUCCUGCCGCUUAACGGCAGAAGGGCCGGAAAAACUCUCGGGAUUGAGUCCGGAAGAGGUUGGUGGAAUUGGUGGUGUAGCGGUGAAAUGCAUAGAUAUCACCAAGAACACCGGUGGCGAAGGCGGCCAACUGGUCCGGCACUGACGCUGAGGCACGAGAGCGUGGGGAGCGAACAGGAUUAGAUACCCCGGUAGUCC